UGUUAUUGACAUUGUAGUGCAUCUUACUGAGUAAUUGUUUUUGUAAUUGAUGUCAUGGAGAGAGAAAAGUGGAAUAUUGCUCGUAGCAAUUUAAGGAAAAGGGCUGUUGAUGUUAAAGACACCGUCUGGAGAGUGAUGAAACACUGCUUGACCAACGCUUUAGCGAAGCAGCUCAACUGGUGGGGAGUGAAUGGAACUGUCAGAAAGAACUCACUAACAUCGACGGCCACUGACCAAGAAAUAGAAUUAUAUAUUAAAAAAUGGCUUCACCUGGCUGGUGACCGUGAUGGUGGGAGACGCGAAAGAGAGAAACGGAGGAGUGCCCAAGAUACACGCCCGCAAGACUGCCAUGGAGCUGAUGGGCCCAGUCAAGGAGUUCAUUAAAACGUGUAUUUGGAUGGUUCCUGUCUAAUUAAUAGUCUUAUAAGA